rnacentral:rRNA from 1 species
GAUGAACGCUGGCGGCGUGCCUAAUACAUGCAAGUCGAGCGAACGGACGAGAAGCUUGCUUCUCUGAUGUUAGCGGCGGACGGGUGAGUAACACGUGGAUAACCUACCUAUAAGACUGGGAUAACUUCGGGAAACCGGAGCUAAUACCGGAUAAUAUUUUGAACCGUAUGGUUCAAAAGUGAAAGACGGUCUUGCUGUCACUUAUAGAUGGAUCCGCGCUGCAUUAGCUAGUUGGUAAGGUAACGGCUUACCAAGGCAACGAUGCAUAGCCGACCUGAGAGGGUGAUCGGCCACACUAGAACUGAGCCACGGUCCAGACUCCUACGGGAGGCAGCAGUAGGGAAUCUUCCGCAAUGGGCGAAAGCCUGACGGAGCAACGCCGCGUGAGUGAUGAAGGUCUUCGGAUCGUAAAACUCUGUUAUUAGGGAAGAACAUAUGUGUAAGUAACUGUGCACAUCUUGACGGUACCUAAUCAGAAAGCCACGGCUAACUACGUG